rnacentral:rRNA from 2 species
ACGCUGGCUGUGUGCCUAAUACAUGCAUGUCGAGCGGAGUUCUUCGGAACUUAGCGGCGAAUGGGUGAGUAACACGUACUUAACAUGCCUUUUAGAUUGGGACAACGAUGAGAAAUUAUCGCUAAUACCGGAUACUUAUAUGGUUCGCAUGAACUAUAUAUAAAAGAAGCCUUUAAAGCUUCACUAAAAGAUUGGGGUGCGGAACAUUAGCUAGUUGGUAAGGUAAUGGCUUACCAAGGCGAUGAUGUUUAGCGGGGUUGAGAGACUGAUCCGCCACACUGGGACUGAGAUACGGCCCAGACUCCUACGGGAGGCAGCAGUAGGGAAUUUUCCACAAUGGACGAAAGUCUGAUGGAGCGACACAGCGUGCAGGAUGAAGGCCUUCGGGUUGUAAACUGCUGUUAUAAGGGAAGAAAAAGCAGUAGAGGAAAUGCUAUUGCCUUGACGGUACCUUGUCAGAAAGCAACGGCUAACUAUGUGCCAGCAGCCGCGGUAAUACAUAGGUUGCAAGCGUUAUCCGGAAUUAUUGGGCGUAAAGCGUCUGUAGGUUGUAUGUUAAGUCUGGCGUGAAAACUUGGGGCUCAACCCCAAAUUGCGUUGGAUACUGGCAUGCUAGAAUUGUGUAGAGGUUAGCGGAAUUCCUAGUGAAGCGGUGAAAUGCGUAGAUAUUAGGAAGAACAUCAACAUGGCGAAGGCAGCUAACUGGGCACAUAUUGACACUGAGAGACGAAAGCGUGGGGAGCAAACAGGAUUAGAUACCCUGGUAGUCCACGCUGUAAACGAUGAUGAUUAGCUGAUAGUARAACUAUCGGCACAGCUAACGCAUUAAAUCAUCCGCCUGAGUAGUAUGCUCGCAAGAGUGAAACUUAAAGGAAUUGACGGGGAUCCGCACAAGCGGUGGAGCAUGUGGUUUAAUUUGAAGAUACKCGUAGAACCUUACCCACUCUUGACAUCUUCCGCAAAGCUAUAGAGAUAUAGUGGAGGCUAACGGAAUGACAGAUGGUGCAUGGUUGUCGUCAGCUCGUGUCGUGAGAUGUUCGGUUAAGUCCUGCAACGAGCGCAACCCUUGUCCUUAGUUAAUUUUCUAGGGAGACUGCCCGAGUAAUUGGGAGGAAGGUGGGGACGACGUCAAAUCAUCAUGCCUCUUACGAGUGGGGCAACACACGUGCUACAAUGGAUGGUACAAAGAGAAGCAAAACGGCGACGUCAAGCAAAUCUCAAAAAACCAUUCUCAGUUCGGAUUGUAGUCUGCAACUCGACUACAUGAAGUCGGAAUCGCUAGUAAUCGUAGAUCAGCUACGCUACGGUGAAUACGUUCUCGGGUCUUGUACACACCGCCCGUCACACCAUGGGAGCUGGUAAUGCCCGAAGUCGGUUUUGUUAACUACGGAGACAACUGCCUAAGGCAGGGCCGGUGACUGGGGUGAAGUCGUAACAAGGUAACA